rnacentral:lncRNA from 1 species
AGGCAGAUGAUACAGCAGUAGGUGGACCACCAAAAGUAGGGCGCAUUUGCAGCGGCUGAGAAGAAGGCCUAGAUGAUAACAUAGCUGGUGGUUGUGGAGGUCCACCUAACGGCCUCGGCAUACUACCCAUAGCAGGAGGGAACGGUGACCCACCUUGUGUCAUCCCUGGUGCAAAUGUAGGCGGUCCAUUACUAAUUGAACCAGAAGCACUUGCAUGGGAAGGAGUGGAGGGAGCUGAUGUCAGAGGGGAAGACGGGUAUGAUCCGGGACGAGGCCCCAAUGCAGGAGGCGAGGGAGCAACAGGCCCACCAACAGAUGAUGGCAUCGCCCCAGGUGGUGGUGGUCUUGAUGCAAAGGGAGGAGGCUGAGAUCCAGGUGGUGGACCAGUGGGUCUAGUAGAACCCAUAUUUGGAGGCAAUGUAGUUUGAGCAGGAGCAUUGGGUGGUACCGGAGCCCUUGGAAAUACACCAGGGGGAGGCGGGCCUGGUCUGCUACCAGCAAAAGCCGGAGCCUG